rnacentral:rRNA from 1 species
ACGCACGCUGGCGGCGUGCUUAACACAUGCAAGUCGAACGGAAAGGCCCUGCUUUUGUGGGGUGCUCGAGUGGCGAACGGGUGAGUAACACGUGAGUAACCUGCCCUUGACUUUGGGAUAACUUCAGGAAACUGGGGCUAAUACCGGAUAGGAGCUCCUGCUGCAUGGUGGGGGUUGGAAAGUUUCGGCGGUUGGGGAUGGACUCGCGGCUUAUCAGCUUGUUGGUGGGGUAGUGGCUUACCAAGGCUUUGACGGGUAGCCGGCCUGAGGGGGUGACCGGCCACAUUGGGACUGGGAUACGGCCCAGACUCCUACGGGAGGCAGCAGUGGGGAAUAUUGCACAAUGGGCGGAAGCCUGAUGCAGCAACGCCGCGUGCGGGAUGACGGCCUUCGGGUUGUAAACCGCUUUCGCCUGUGACGAAGCGUGAGUGACGGUAAUGGGUAAAGAAGCACCGGCUAACUACGUG